rnacentral:rRNA from 1 species
AAGAAACUAACGAGGAUUCCCGUAGUAACGGCGAGUGAACUGGGAAGAGUCCAGCGCUGAAUCACUUCUCCUCUGGGGUUGUGAGGUGUAGCGUACAGACCGUGAGCUUGGACUGGCCCGCUUGUUCAAGUUUCCCUUGACCGGGGCUCCAGAGAAGGUGCAAGACCUGUCCAACGGGUGGUUGCCUAUCCAUCUUCGCGUGUCUUGGAGUCGGGUUGUUUGGGAUCGCAGCCCAAAGUAGGUGGUAAACUUCAUCUAAGACUGAAUACGGCCACGAGUCCGAUAGCGAACAAGUACCGUGAGGGAAAGUUGCAAAGCACUUUGAAGAGAGAGUUAAAGAGGACGUGAAACCGAUGAGAUGGAAACGGACAGAGCUGGCGUAUCCGGUCUGCAUUCAUCCGUGUGUUCUUGGGCGUUUGGAUUGCCAAUCUCCAGACUGGGAUGGUGUUCAUUCUGCUCAGGGGGCUCAUGGAGCAUUUGCAGGCGGAGUGCGCUGAGAUGCUCGGGACAGCUGCAUGAGCUUGGCUUUGAGGCCAGCCCUUCGGGGUCUGGUACCCGGGCUGUGGGAGUGCUGUUUGUUCUGGGUGCUGAGUGUGUGCAAUGGCAACGGGUCCGUGUUGGUUUGAGCUGGUGGUUGGUGGCGGUCGCGUGCGACACGUGCCGGCAGUCAGUUCGGUCCUGCUCGGGCUCUCAUUGCAUGUUCUCGGUGUAAAAGCCGGUCAUCUGUCCGACCCGUCUUGAAACACGGACCCAAGGAGUUUAGCGUGUGCGCGAGUCAUUGGGAGUUGAAAACCCAAGGGCGUAAUGAAAGUGAAGGUCUCCUUGCGGAGCUGAUGUGUGAUCUCGUGCACCCCGGUGUGCGGCGCAACAUAGUCCCGUCCCAAUCGCAUGCGAUGGGGCGGAGACAGAGCGUACGCGCUGAGACCCGAAAGAUGGUGAACUAUUCCUGAGCAGGAUGAAGCCAGAGGAAACUCUGGUGGAAGUCCGAAGCGAUUCUGACGUGCAAAUCGAUCGUCUGACUUGGGUAUAGGGGCGAAAGACUAAUCGAACCAUC